UUCAUGUGAUCUACGAUUGUAACUUUCCAUUUUGGUCCUGGCUAAAAUCUAGAUCACUGAAAGAAGAAUUAGUAAACUGUUUGGAUCGCAAUAAUGUUCAAAUGUCAAGUCUUCAAGCAAGCGAUUUUGAAAAUUGUACCUAUUCAACAACUCAUCUGACUUAUGCACAGGAAGAAUCUACUACAUCAGGAGUAACAACAGAAAUAACAGCAUUUUCAAAAGAAGAUGGAUACAAAAGAAGUACUAGCGAAAAUCGAUGUUGAAGAAUUGUCACGAAAAUUCAAAUCAAAGAAAUUCAGCAGUUUAUGAAAAUGAAAUCCAAUUAGAUCAUCAAGCCUAUCAGGAUCUGACUCUGGUCAGAAGAGACAAUCUUUCACCAUAUGAUGUCGUACACAUUGCCAAUGUGUAAUAGAGAUAUAUAGUCAAGCAACAAUUUUAUUUCUAAUCAAAUGUUUUGUAUACGUUAAAGUAUAGUAGAAUUAAGACGUUGAAAAGGGCAGGGGUAAACUGGUUCAUAUCCGUCCGUCCUUCGUCCGUCCGUACCAUGCAACUGGUAUGAGCAUGAUUUUCUUAUCCCAGACAUAUAACCUAAGCCGUAUUUGGGACAACUUUUUGGAACUUUUGGUCCUCAAUGCUCUUCAACUUUGUACUUGUUUUGGCUUUCGUACUUUUUUAUCUGAGCGUCACUGGUUUGUCUUGUGUGGACGAAACGCGCGUCUUGCGUAUUUUAAACCUGGUAUCUUUUGUUAACUAUUAUUCGUAUGUUUCUCUGUCCUUUAUGUUCUCCCAUUAUUUGUAUUGUAGUCCUGUCAUGUAAUGUUGUCAUUGUAAUGUUAUAUUUAACAUUGCCAUCAAAGCAGGAGGUUUGGCUAGUCACAAAACCAGGUUCAACCCACCAUUUUUUUCUUAAAAGUAUCCUGUACCAAGUCAGGAAAAUGGCAAUUGUUAUCGUAUAGCGUAUAGUUUGUUUCUGUGUUUGUGGCAUUGUCGGUUGUUUGUUCACUUCAGUGUUUCUGUUGUUUCGUUGUCCAUAUGUACUAUAUUGUAUUGUUUAUUUGCGUUAUUCUCUGUCCGUAAUGUUGUACUGUAUUCAUGUCAUGUAAUGAUGUCAUUUAGUGUUAUAUUUAACAUUGCCAUAAAAGUGCGAGGUUUGGCUAGCCACAAAACCAGGUUCAACCUACUAUUUUUUUCUUAAAAUGUCCUGUUCCAAGUCAGGAAAAUGGCCAUUGUUAUAUUGUAGUUCGUUUCUGUGUGUGUUACAUUUUAAUGUUGUGUUUCUGUUGUGUCGUAGUUCUCCUCUUAUAUUUGAUGUGUUUCCCUCAGUUUUAGUUUGUAACCCGGAUUUGUUUUUUUCUCAAUCUAUUUAUGAAUUUCGAACAGCGGUAUACUACUGUUGCCUUUAUUUACUGUAUGAUACGUUUUCAUAAUUAUCACUCAAUAAUAUAACUUCCUGUUUACCGUGACUGAGCAGUCAAAUAUAUUCCUACACAUAUAUGCAAUGUUUGUCACAUUUUUCUAUAGAACUACAAAUUUGCAAAUAUGCUUUAUAUGAGCAUGCUAUCCCUAGUAUUGCAUUCUCACAUCCAUUGCUCGUCAACUAACUGUUUACCGGAUGCUUAUAGAGGGUAUCAUUGUCGAGCAAUAGGUUACAGUUCAACAUUUUCUUUCGAAAUUAUAAGCGGACAUAUCAUUUACAUUAAAGAAAUAAUCACAAUCUGUUCUGUCUUAGACGCGCAAUUUUUUUGGGGAAACGUGACAUAAAACAAAUCUCCAUUACAGACAGCAUUGUUCAAAGUAAUGACUUACGAUUUUAAACAGUUUUAAACAGUUAAAAGAUUAGAUGCCGUAAGGAAUAUAGAAGAGAAAAAUAUCAAAUUGUCUCUCCUCGACGAAAUCGCAAAAGCGAGACUCAGGCAUGCUGUGGCAGGUGGCAAUGUAUUCAAUAAUGUACAUGCAUUAGUUUGUGAUUAUGCCAGUUUAAAAAGAUCAUCUAGUGAUAGUAAUCUUAAGUUGUAUAAUCAUUGGCACAUCUCAUUUCCAUGGAGAUUAUUUGGCCCCGCCCCCUUAGGUAUGGUCUAUUGACUUUGAAACUUUUCCUUAGCUUAGAAGUUAAUGUUUGUGAUUCGGUCAGUUUACCGGGAACAACUUGUAAUAAGUCAAUAGUCAUUGGUAUGUUGCUAUAUUAGCAUGUACUUAUAUCAAGGAGGUUAUUUGGACCUUCAUCUACAGUCAUUGUUCAUUGACUUUAAAUUUUAUGGAUAGCUAAGAUCCUAAAGUAUUGCCAUUAUAGUUUUAACCGUAGCAUUUUACUAUCAAAAUUAAAUAAAAACGUGACAUAU